CCUACGGGAGGCAGCAGUAGGGAAUAUUGCUCAAUGGGGGAAACCCUGAAGCAGCAACGCCGCGUGGAGGAUGACGGUUUUCGGAUUGUAAACUCCUUUUGUUAGAGAAGAUAAUGACGGUAUCUAACGAAUAAUCACCGGUUAACUCCGUUCCAGCAGCCGAGGUAAUACGGAGGGUGCAAGGGUUACUCGGAAUCACUGGGCGUAAAGGGCGCGUAGGCGGGAUAUCAAGUCAGAUGUGAAAUCCUAUGGCUUAACCAUAGAACUGCAAUUGAUACUGUUAUUCUAGAGUAUGGGAGAGGUAGGUGGAAUUCGUGGUGUAGGGGUAAAAUCUGUAGAGAUCAAGAAGAAUACUCAUUGCGAAGGCGACCUGCUAGAACAUAACUGACGCUGAUGCGCGAAAGCGUGGGGAGCAAACAGGAUUAGAUACCCGAGUAGUC
rnacentral:rRNA from 1 species